rnacentral:lncRNA from 1 species
AAACGUAGUCCAACAACGAAAGAGCCCUGAAGCUCAAGCGGAGCCCGCUGGCCGCAGGGGCCGCACCACGCCCCAGACCCUGGAGUUUCCGGGUGCGCAGACCCUUGCCAUCAGCAGAGGCUGCCGCUGCGCGUCCCCUAGGCGCGGAAGAGGCGGCUGGUGGUCCCUGACGGCAAGGUUUUAUACAUUACGAAUAAAGCUGGCACGUUUCCAUUUCUCCUGGGCAAAUAUUUAGAAGAAAAGUUGCUGGGUAAUUGAAGCACUGAGACCACAGAGGCAAGAGCUGGGGAAGGAAAACUGCCCAUGAGAUGAGAUGUGCCUCUCAGCUUCCAAAAUCGGGGAGGGUUGCAAAGGGAUGACACCAUCCACACCAGAACUGCAUGAAUGGCAUCAGGAAUGAUCAGAGACCAUAAAUUCCAGUGAGACCAAUAACACCAUUUCUGGUCCUGCAUGCUCUUCCAAACUUUGCCACUAACCCCUUCAAGAGAUGCCCCCCAUGGAAUCCAGCCAUCAUGCUGUGAGGAAUCCAAGCAGCUACAUAGAAAGGCCACAACUAGAUAUUCCAGCUGUAGUCAGCUGAAGCUCCAGCCAACAGCCAACAUCAACCACCACACGUGAAAACGAGCAAGCCUUCAGAUGAUUCCGACUCCCAACCUCCAAGCCACCUCAGCUGAAGCCAAGUAGAGCAGAGACUAGCUGUCCCCCAAUGCUCUAAUAUGCAGAUUCAUAAUUAAAAAGAAUGUUAUUGUUCUAA